AGGAAUUUUGCGCAAUGGGGGAAACCCUGACGCAGCAACGCCGCGUGAGUGAAGAAGGCUUUCGGGUCGUAAAGCUCUGUCAAGUGGGAAAAAAGUCUGAUGAUUAAUAGUAGUCAGAUCUGAUGGUACCACUGAAGGAAGCACCGGCUAACUCCGUGCCAGCAGCCGCGGUAAUACGGAGGGUGCAAGCGUUGUUCGGAAUUACUGGGCGUAAAGGGCGUGCAGGCGGGUUGGUAUGUCAGAUGUGAAAGCCCUGGGCUCAACCCAGGAAGUGCAUUUGAAACUGCCAUCCUAGAGUAUGGGAGAGGAGAGUGGAAUUCCCAAUGUAGAGGUGAAAUUCGUAGAUAUUGGGAGGAACACCCGUGGCGAAGGCGACUCUCUGGACCAAUACUGACGCUGAGACGCGAAAGCGUGGGGAGCAAACAGGAUUAGAUACCCUGGUAGUCCACGCUGUAAACGAUGAGAACUAGGUGUAGCGGGUAUUGACCCCUGCUGUGCCGAAGUUAACGCAUUAAGUUCUCCGCCUGGGGAGUACGGCCGCAAGGCUAAAACUCAAAGGAAUUGACGGGGACCCGCACAAGCAGCGGAGCAUGUGGUUUAAUUCGAAGCAACGCG
rnacentral:rRNA from 1 species